rnacentral:rRNA from 1 species
UACGUAGGGUCCGAGCGUUGUCCGGAGUUACUGGGCGUAAAGAGCGCGCAGGCGGUCGUUCAAGUCGCGUGUGAAAGCCCCCGGCUCAACUGGGGAGGGUCACGCGAUACUGAUCGACUCGAAGGCAGGAGAGGGAAGUGGAAUUCCCGGUGUAGUGGUGAAAUGCGUAGAUAUCGGGAGGAACACCAGUGGCGAAGGCGGCAUCCUGGACCGGUAUUGACACUGAGGCGCGAAAGCCAGGGGAGCAAACGGG